rnacentral:rRNA from 1 species
CAAGUCGAACGGCAGCACGGGUGCUUGCACCUGGUGGCGAGUGGCGAACGGGUGAGUAAUACAUCGGAACGUACCUUAUCGUGGGGGAUAACGCAGCGAAAGUUGCGCUAAUACCGCAUACGCCCUGAGGGGGAAAGCGGGGGACCGUAAGGCCUCGCGCGAUUAGAGCGGCCGAUGUCUGAUUAGCUUGUUGGUGAGGUAAAAGCUCACCAAGGCGAUGAUCAGUAGCUGGUCUGAGAGGACGAUCAGCCACACUGGGACUGAGACACGGUCCAGACUCCUACGGGAGGCAGCAGUGGGGAAUUUUGGACAAUGGGGGCAACCCUGAUCCAGCAAUGCCGCGUGAGUGAAGAAGGCCUUCGGGUUGUAAAGCUCUUUUGUCAGGGAAGAAACAGCAGCUCUAACACAGUCUGCGAAUGACGGUACCUGAAGAAUAAGCACCGGCUAACUACGUGCCAGCAGCCGCGGUAAUACGUAGGGUGCGAGCGUUAAUCGGAAUUACUGGGCGUAAAGCGUGCGCAGGCGGUUAUACAAGACAGGCGUGAAAUCCCCGGGCUUAACCUGGGAAUGGCGUCUGUGACUGUAUAGCUAGAGUGUGUCAGAGGGGGGUGGAAUUCCACGUGUAGCAGUGAAAUGCGUAGAUAUGUGGAGGAACACCAAUGGCGAAGGCAGCCCCCUGGGAUAACACUGACGCUCAUGCACGAAAGCGUGGGGAGCAAACAGGAUUAGAUACCCUGGUAGUCCACGCCCUAAACGAUGCUGACUAGUUGUUGGGAAUUUACAUUCUCAGUAACGUAGCUAACGCGUGAAGUCAGCCGCCUGGGGAGUACGGUCGCAAGAUUAAAACUCAAAGGAAUUGACGG